GAUUUCUGGUGUGGUGCGCCGAGCCCGCCGCCGUUAGGCGGUGAGUGCUUGUUCGCGCGCCUACCAUCCUUCCGGAGAGCACGCACUACCCUUAAGUGGGCUGGUGUGUGCGAUCUGGAUCGUUUACUUUGAAAAAAUUAGAGUGUUUAAAGCAGGCGUUUGCUAUGAAUACAUUAGCAUGGAAUAAUAAGAUAGGGCUUUAGUUCUAUUUUGUUGGUUUCUAGGACUGAAGUAAUGAUUGAUAGGGACAGUUGGGGGUGCUAGUAUUUAACGGCCAGAGGUGAAAUUCUUGGAUUCGUUAAAGACUAACUUAUGCGAAAGCAUU
rnacentral:rRNA from 1 species